UAAAAGUUCAAUCAACUAAAGUAAAACUUUAAAUAAGAUGCAUUCCAAGUGUUCGGUAUAAUAUCACCGGUCAAGUGUUCCAAACGAUAUGCUCCAUUAUUCAGAUCUUCUUUGAUUCUGAACAGUCCAUCCCAAUUUGCUGCCAACUUCCCUUCUCUUAAACUUUUCCUUGCCUCUGCUGUUUUGCGCCAAACUAAAUCUCCUUCCAUGAAUCGUCUUGGCCACA
rnacentral:lncRNA from 1 species